rnacentral:rRNA from 1 species
AAUGGAGGAAACUCUGACGCAGCGACGCCGCGUGAGCGAUGAAGGCCUUCGGGUUGUAAAGCUCUGUUGCAGGGGAAAAAUAAAGUGAUUGUACCCUGCGAGGAAGGAUCGGCUAACUUCGUGCCAGCAGCCGCGGUAAGACGAGGGAUCCUAGCGUUGUUCGGAAUCAUUGGGCGUAAAGCGGGUGUAGGUUGCUCUUUAAGUCAGAUGUGAAAGCCCGGGGCUUAACCCCGGAAGUGCAUUUGAUACUGAAGAGCUUGAGUGCUGGAGAGGCUACUAGAAUUCCUGGUGUAGUGGUGAAAUACGUAGAUAUCAGGAGGAAUACCGGAGGCGAAGGCGGGUAGCUGGCCAAGCACUGACACUCAGACCCGAAAGCGUGGGGAUCAAA